rnacentral:rRNA from 1 species
UACGUAGGUGGCAAGCGUUGUCCGGAUUUACUGGGCGUAAAGAGCGCGCAGGCGGUCGUACAAGUCGCGUGUGAAAGCCCCCGGCUCAACUGGGGAGGGUCACGCGAUACUGUUCGACUCGAAGGCAGGAGAGGGAAGUGGAAUUCCCGGUGUAGUGGUGAAAUGCGUAGAUAUCGGGAGGAACACCAGUGGCGAAGGCGACUUCCUGGCCUGUUCUUGACGCUGAGGCGCGAAAGCUGGGGGAGCGAACGGG